GGGGUACUAGCUCAGAUGGUAGAGCGCUCGCUUAGCAUGCGAGAGGUACUGGGAUCGAUGCCC
rnacentral:tRNA from 1 species